rnacentral:pre_miRNA from 1 species
UUCAUACUCCCUCCGUUCGGAAUUACUUGUCUCGGAAAUGAAUGUAUCUAGAACUAAAAUACAUCUAGAUACAUUCAUUUCCGAGACAAGUAAUUCCGAACGGAGGGAGUAUGUU